rnacentral:rRNA from 1 species
GUGUCAGCAGCCGCGGUAAUACGAAGGGGGCUAGCGUUGCUCGGAAUUACUGGGCGUAAAGGGAGCGUAGGCGGACUGUUUAGUCAGAGGUGAAAGCCCAGGGCUCAACCUUGGAAUUGCCUUUGAUACUGGCAGUCUUGAGUACGGAAGAGGUAUGUGGAACUCCGAGUGUAGAGGUGAAAUUCGUAGAUAUUCGGAAGAACACCAGUGGCGAAGGCGACAUACUGGUCCGUUACUGACGCUGAGGCUCGAAAGCGUGGGGAGCAAACAGGAUUAGAUACCCCAGUAGUC